GACACACACAAUGAUCAUCGAAAGGUGGGUACCUUCCCUGGUGUUCCAUCACCAACCUAAACAGACAACUUCCCUAGAUGUAUCUACCAAGGCUCGGAGCUUAGACGCCGGUGGACCCGAAUCCUCCCUCCCCCGGACGGUGGCGUCGAGGUCCACCACCUCGGCGACCUCCGGCGUCGAAUCACCUGGACAAUCAUCUACGCGACAUGGCCACCAGCUUCACGGAGAAGUCCGCCUCUGAGUGGUUGAAGAGCAUAGCACCCACCGGCUGCGCUAGUCAGCGUCGAUCACCCCUGCGCCAAUUCACAAGACCCAUUAAUUAAGUUAAGAUUCUUUCUCAUCUAGCAAUUUAAAGGGGCUCAUGCCAAAAAUAUUUGCUUAAUUCCUCACUGGCUAUUCAAACUAAAUGGUCCAAGAACUUUGGGACAAUCAACAAUCUUUCCGCUUGAUCUCCGCUAGCUACUUUGGAUUCAAUAAGAAAAGGAACAUUUAUUUGAACUGGAAAGAACAAGCAGGCAAGCAUGCUAUCAAUCUUCUGGCUGGAAUUUCACAAAAUGCACCUGUCAAGUGUACUCUAACAAUCGACGUGUCCCAUCUCCUCAUGAUUAAGGACUCUAGCUGAGCCGACAACAUGGAGCAAGAUGUAGUCGUUUCCGAGCAUGAACCCUUGACUGUCAUCAAUGAACCUGCAACAUCCAUCAUGCCCAUUGUAAAAUAUGUUAGUUUCAGAUAAGAAAAGAACUGAACUCUGAACAUAUGAUGUUAUCUAAAUCCUUACUUUAUGGAGAUGUCAUCGGCAGCAAAAAAAGGAAAUAUAUUUCACUGAUUUUGGUGUUGCAACAACGUAUAUACUUUAUCACAUUAUAAGUCCUCACACCAUCAACUAUGACAAAAUCUGAGAGUAUAAGUCUGGUUACAUUCAUCCAAGUCCAAACAUAAAAUUCUGUCCAACAUAGUACAACCCACUUUGAUAAUUUCAUAGUAUUUAAUAUAACGAACGAAACCUGACAAGUGAUAUGUGUUUAAGUAUCUACAGAACAGCCUCUAAAAUUUUCAUGUUGUAACUUUAUUUUAAUACCACCUCUAACAGGCCUAAUCUCCCAUAUCAAAACACUGUACCCAGGAACAUAUAUUUUGGGACAACAAACUAAAUUGAUGGCUGAUCUCAAACCGUACAUCCAAACGACACAAAUAAAUACUCUAAAGAAACCUUGGAACUUUAUCUAAAACUUAUGUAAAGGGGCCAACUCAAAAUUCUAAGCCUAGCUAACUCAUUUUUCAGAUCUAAGCUUGCUGUCCAAAUUGGACAUUACAGUUUUUAACUGAACCAAGUUCAGUUUACAGCCAUGAUGCAGAACUAGAUGCUAAAACUAACACCUUGUAGGGAGAGGCGAUGCACCGUUUUUACCUCGAAUCAAAGGCUUCGCAUAUGCGCUUUGGCCGGAUAAAAAGAUGAUAUCUCCCUUAACAGUAUCCAUGCCAUGAUGCAGAACUAGUAUUUCCAAAUUUCCCCAAAUCACCACUCGAGCAUUUCUAGAGGAAAUUAAUUGAUUCUCUACAUAGCAUCUGCCCUACAAUAGCUAAUCCUUAAACAGAAAAUUGGGCAAAGCGAGCACCACACAUGUUUAACUGGGGUACAUGUACAUCCAACAAGGACACAAAACUAAGUAAAACCGAAUGAAGCAACUGAAGAGUACCUCUUCCACGCUAGCCUUAGCCGCCAUCUCGCUGCUCACGCACAGACACUCCGUCCGCCAGAGCUUGAAUAUCUGCAGAACCAGAAACAUUACUCCUCCAAACCCAUAGCAGAGAAUUCGAGCCCGACCACACCCGGGCCACUACCCCCAAAUCACAGAGACCACUCCUCCAAACAUUUUUUGUGACUUUCAUUCUCCAUUACUACAAAAGGCAGAGAAACAAACAUUUUUUGUGUUUUUCAUUUUCUUUUGCUACAAAAGGC
rnacentral:lncRNA from 1 species